rnacentral:rRNA from 1 species
GUAGGUGGCAAGCGUUGUCCGGAAUUAUUGGGCGUAAAGCGCGCGCAGGCGGUUCUUUAAGUCUGAUGUGAAAGCCCACGGCUCAACCGUGGAGGGUCAUUGGAAACUGGAGAACUUGAGUACAGAAGAGGAAAGCGGAAUUCCACGUGUAGCGGUGAAAUGCGUAGAGAUGUGGAGGAACACCAGUGGCGAAGGCGGCUUUCUGGUCUGUAACUGACGCUGAGGCGCGAAAGCGUGGGGGGCAAACAGGGAUUAGAUACCCUGGUAGUCCACGCCGUAAACGAUGAGUGCUAAGUGUUAGGGGGGUUUCCGCCCCCUUAGUGCUGCAGCUAACGCAUUAAGCACUCCGCCCCGGGGAGUACGGCCCGCAAGGCUG